AUGUCGUAUGGAGGCCGAUUGAUUCUCAUUAAUUCGCUGCUCACGAGUAUGCCUAUAUUUCUUUUAUCCUUUUUUGAAGUACCAGUUGGAGUUAGGAAAAGGCUGGACUUCUAUCGGUCACGUUUCUUCUGGCAGAGUGAUGAACUUAAGAGAAAGUACCGUUUAGCCAAAUGGGAUGUCAUCUGCCGACCAAAAAACCAAGGGGGUCUUGGGGUUGAGAACCUUGAAGUCAAGAACAUAUGCCUUCUCAGUAAGUGGCUAUAUAAGUUAUCUGCCGAGACUGAGGCAACUUGGGCGCAGAUUCUUCGUAACAAGUAUCUGUACUCUAAGACAUUAUCGCAGGUGACAGUUAGACCAACUGAUUCGCCUUUUUGGAAGGGGCUAAUGAGGGUCAAAGCUACUUUCUUUAAUAGAACAAAGUUUAUUGUCGGUGAUGGCAAUAACACUCGAUUCUGGGAGGAUACUUGGCUCGGUGAUACGCCGCUAGCUCUUCAGUAUCCGUCACUAUAUCGUAUUGUGCAGCGACGCGAUGCUCUGGUUGCAACGAGUUUGCAAUCCGCUCCCCUUAAUACUCAAUUUAGGAGGGUGCUUGUUGGGGACCGAUGA
rnacentral:rRNA from 1 species